AUUGAACGCUGGCGGCAUGCCUUACACAUGCAAGUCGAACGGUAACAGGUUAAGCUGACGAGUGGCGAACGGGUGAGUAAUGUAUCGGAACGUGCCCAGUCGUGGGGGAUAACUACUCGAAAGAGUGGCUAAUACCGCAUACGACCUGAGGGUGAAAGCGGGGGACCGUAAGGCCUCGCGCGAUUGGAGCGGCCGAUAUCAGAUUAGCUAGUUGGUGGGGUAAAAGCCCACCAAGGCGACGAUCUGUAGCUGGUCUGAGAGGACGACCAGCCACACUGGGACUAAGACACGGCCCAGACUCUUACGGGAGGCAGCAGUGGGGAAUUUUGGACAAUGGACGCAAGUCUGAUCCAGCCAUGCCGCGUGCGGGAAGAAGGCCUUCGGGUUGUAAACCGCUUUUGUCAGGGAAGAAACGAGUUUCUCUAAUACAGAGACUUAAUGACGGUACCUGAAGAAUAAGCACCGGCUAACUACGUGCCAGCCGCCGCAGUAACAC
rnacentral:rRNA from 1 species